rnacentral:lncRNA from 1 species
UUAGCUUUACCCUGUAUUAUGUUUGAGAGUAGAUGUUGUAUAGGGUGAGGUUUGAAUGAUUGUAUUUAUAUUUUGGAAGAACGUAAAAGAUGUAAUUAAAUGUAUUAAGUUGAAUGAAUGUAAUAGAUAGCAUCUUCUCUCUUUAUGUACUUGUAUAUUUUCAUACUUGUAUCUUGCUCUUGGAUGCUAGCACUGGUGGUGCUCUUUGUGAUCGUGUAUUUAUGAAUUGAUUCCUGGGUAAAUUCUUAUACAUGAUCUGUUAGUUAGCCUUGGGCGUACAGCGGAGGUCCUGUCCAUUCG